rnacentral:tRNA from 1 species
UGCAUCGGCCAGGAAUCGAACCCGGGGCGCCCGCGUGGCAGACGAGCAUUCUACCACUGAACCAAAAGC